rnacentral:rRNA from 1 species
AAAUUGAAGAGUUUGAUCAUGGCUCAGAUUGAACGCUGGCGGCAGGCCUAACACAUGCAAGUCGAGCGGCAGCGGGAAGUAGUUUACUACUUUGCCGGCGAGCGGCGGACGGGUGAGUAAUGUCUGGGAAACUGCCUGAUGGAGGGGGAUAACUACUGGAAACGGUAGCUAAUACCGCAUAACGUCUUCGGACCAAAGUGGGGGACCUUCGGGCCUCACGCCAUCGGAUGUGCCCAGAUGGGAUUAGCU